GCGAUUUGAGCGAUUUGAGCGAUUUUCAGAGACUCCCAGCGACACAGCAGCAGAUAAAGAAGACGACGUAGAAAAGUCUUUUUAAAGACUAAAACAUCCAUCAAGAGCAGAAGAACAAGAAGAAGAAGAAGAAGAACCUGCCGGCCCCUUGUGGGUCAUCUGGGGCAGCAGAGAUGGGCAUGAGUGCCAGUAGCAGGCAGUACUAUGAGUACCGCUAUGGAAAGAUCUCAUUUUGGAUCCCCCCUCAUCUGGAUGUCUUUGAGAUCAGGGAUUUUGAGGAUCCACGCGCAGGCCCCUAUUUGGAGGGCAUUAGGGGCCAGAUAACAGGUGACAUCAAGAUGGCCCUUUAU